AAAAGAACCAACAAUUCUACUUUACCGAGGAGGCCAAUUUUCAUGUUAAUGAAGCCACAAUGAAGUGUCACGGCUGACAGGCAUAAAAUAAACCUUAGUUUAAGCAGGGCUAUUGGAGGAAUAAUUCUAAAGGAGGAAGUUAGAGGAGGUUAAUGAUGAAGAGAUUUGUGAGGACAGAAUAGGUUCAGUUGGCUCCAAUCAGAGAAGUCACCAAUUUCCCAGUGUAGGCUCCGAGAAGAACACUGAUGGGACACCUCAUGUUGCCUGGCCUAACGUCGCAUGGAAUAAGCUUUCUUGCCUUCUGGGAGCAGCAUGGGCUUUAGUUUGGCAAGAACAGAUGUUCUGGUGUGAGCUCCUUUAUUCCUCAUGAGACACUACAUUAUUGCAACCAGAUAAGUGACACUCGGUGUAUUUGCAAUAUUGAAGUAACCUUAACACAGAUGUUAAUGUAAUGUGGCUUGCCAGAAGUCUCCGAACAUGGGUGCUUCAAUACAGAUGAACAGCUCAGGGCUUGAGAAUGUUUCUUCCUGUUCCCAAGGGUUGAUGUUGUC